AAAAAUGUAACUGGAUGUGACCACAGGGGACCUGAUUUAACCUGGAAGCCAGCCCUGCCCUAGGGGAGAGAGUGGAUCAGAGGGCCUGAAGAGAUCUCUUCCCACCUAAAUUGUUCUAUGUGGUGACCUGUGGUUCCUGCUCAAACAACACGAUGUGCAACGGGGAAGGAAGGGAGGAAACCCAACCUUUUUCCCCUUGAGCUGAAUCCAUCACUGCCUGAAAACAAAACUUCAGCAGAGUCACUGAUGGUUCAGAAGGGCCCUGACAGAUUAAAUCAGUCCCAGGGCACAUGUGGAACCAUGUGGAACUCCUGGAAACCAGCUUCCAAUCAGUGCAAACAGUUUUAACGAGUUCCCACCACAAUCACCCCAAAGCUCAGUCCCUGCAGCAAUCCGAGGUGGUCCAGAGCAGGACACACCAUGUGCUGGGGCAGCUGAAGAGCUCACACACCAGGAUUGACACAGCAUUUCACCUCCUGCUCCAUUUGAAAUGUGUCUGAGUCAGAUCUCGAAUCAACACACUCGAAGCUCUGCUUGGGCUAGGAAAGAAUGGGGGUUUAACUUUUCCAGAGGAAUUUCAAAGGAAUUGUGCUGUGCCUGUUUAGGAAAAUGUGUAGAAAAUGGCCAUCUGCAGUCCUGCUUUUCCCCUUGAAUGGGCAGAAACACCUUCCUAAGGCCUUGGGGGAAUGAUUCUGUCUCUUGGAAGAGCAGCCAUCAAGUUCAGUCUUCUCACUCCAAACACUUCUUGCACAGCUGACUCAGAUGUCCUAUUCCCCUGACGUGUGGCAACACUUUUGUCCCGAGGAAGAAAGAAAUAGAAUAAUUAAAAAUAAUGCGGAAUUUUAAUAAAUCUUUCCGUAAGAUCCUCAGUUUUUGACUUGGAGAAGCUGACACGCUGUCUUCACUCGGGUCUUGAAGGUGUUGCAGCAACUCUGCCAUGGCCAGGAGUCGGAGAUGGGGAUCAGCUGAAUUCUUCUCCUUUGGGAGGUGUCAGUCACCUGCUGCUCCCUCCAUAUUGCCACUUCUGAGAGAAGCAGCUUAAAUGUAACAGAACUACAAUAAUGCCUGCACAGAACAGAUCGUGUCUGAAAGCUGUAUACAUUCAAGAGGGAACAGCCAAGAGAAAAAUGGAUUAACUCUUCCACGUGUGACCAAGGAAGUAGAUGGAGAAAAUAAUCUGGGAAAACCAUGCAUUGGAUCAGACCUUGGGUUUUGUUCAAAGUUACAAAUAAACAAACAGGAGAUGAGAAGAUGUUUCACGUGGAGGCCUUGAUUUCACAUUUUGAGGAAAUGCAAUUGCAUUUCUUUCAGUGGCACGGCAGGAGAAAAUCCAGGACUGCAAUCUCCGACUGUAGCACUGGCAAACAAUCCACGAUGAAUAAUUCACUGGGUGAGUUCAGAGACUGUUUCUCAACAUGGAAUCAUCACGAGGAGAUUAUCAUUCCCCCGAAUGUAUUCAUGAUUAGGCUGAACUUUGGUCUCCAAAGGGAUGGGUUGGAAGACAAGUGUUGAGAGGAGAAAGGUUUAUUAAAGAAAUACAGGAAGAUGUUUGUUAUUUUCAGAAGAAAAUAUUUCCCUCUUAACAAGAGCAGACCCAGACAUCUGUUAUGGAAAAUAAGGAGGAUUGUAAUGUAUUAAAACCGAGGGAAUUCUGCUGGGACAUGUGAGGAGUUGGGACACCUGAGCUGGACAGAUUCACCUCUGGCAACAAAAGGAAGUGUUAUCUUACUUGUUCUUAGGCAAAACAUUUUAAACGUGACAUGAGCUAACAGAAAUUACUGAAAUCUCUAAACUAAGGGAGGCUGGAAUUCCAUAGCCCUACUUGUAUUAUCAAAGCCAUCCCUGGCUCUUGAGUUUAUGGAGAUGGAACUCAAUCCUCACACCAACAUUUCCAUGAAUUACUAUUUUAGAAUAGCAAAAGCGAAGUGCUGCUGUGACAAUAUUUACUUUAUACCAGUGUGUUUAUGUUUAAAUCAUCCAUCUCCCUUUGCACCAUCAAGUUUUCCUGAGUCCUAACAGAAAUAGUUAUUAGAGUCGUUACAUUAUGUUUUAUUAUCCAGUACUCGCAUUUUAAAAUUGUAUAACAAAAAUAAUUUGGUCUUAUCUUUCACUUGGGAUUUAGUUGAAUUCUCUUCAACCUGUGUCCAGCUGAAUUCUCUCCCGAUAAUACAGCUUAGGUUUAUCAGAUCCUAUGAAAUAAAUGUUGCCUUUUAAAGGGCUUACUGCUGUUGUCUACCUCUUUUCUAUUCACUGGCUGAAGAUUGCAUAUAUUUAUUUUCCUCCUUGUCUGUGCUUUCUCUGAUUCUACUCAGUUAUUACUUUCCUGGUGUGUGGAAAAACUCAGUAAAAUUGCUGAAACUUUUCAGGAACAGAAACACCAGAGGGAGGGAAAAAAACCAAAUCAAAGGGUCUCAGUUUCUGAAGUGAAGGCUCCAUUUCAGAGCAGUCGUGAUCUCUGUCGUGAUCUGCUCCAUCGUUUUCCUGCGUGGGUGGGAUUUUAUUUCUCCCUUUGUGUUCCUGACUCACAGAGCAUUUGAUGAAGUGCUGGAGGAAGCAGAGAAGUGAGGGCACAGACCAGCCAUUAAAGCUGUGCUUGUACUGUGGUCAAAUCCGAGUUAUUGCCUAAGAAAUAAGUCCUGAGCCGAGCAGGAGGGUCGGGACUCUCCAGCCACAAAACCCCACGGGCAGAGAGUUGCCAUGGACCACCAGGACUUGUUUGCCUGAAGAAACUCCCAGCUCCAUAAAUACACAUAAAACAACAUAUCCCUAAAAUGGCAUAAUAUUGUAACACAAGAACAAUAUAUAAGCAUAUAUAACACCUAAUUCUGUGUAAAAACCUUGCGUUUUUUCCUAAAUCUACUGCUUUUCAAUGGUAUACUUACAAUAUUAUUGCAUAUCUAUAUGCACAGACAGGAAGAAAACACAGAGGAUUUUUAUUAAAACUGAAAAGUCAAAAGCAAAAAGUCUGUGAGAGUAAAGCUCUCAAGAAAAAAAGAUAGACUGGAAUAUUUAUGAAUGCUUUACAGGCACUAAAUAACAGAGUUAUUCUGCAGAGACUGAGGGCUAAGUGGAGAAAGGUGAAAUGAGAUGGAAGACACUUUAAUUGAAUGUACGUCUGUCAAAAUUCUUCCUCAAAUGUUGGAUGAAAAAUGACUGGCUAAACCUCUUAAUUAAUCAAUUCUGGGACAAAAAACCAGCGUGUCAGGCACAAUUUCGGUUUUUGUAAUACUUGGUGGGUUUGAGUUAAUUGUAAAUUUAUUGCCCAAAUAAACCUGAAAGGGAGAUGAACUGGAAAUAAUCCAUGUAUAGGAAACAAGAGGUUGCAAUUAAAAAUGCACCUUUCUCUUUGUUGGCUGUGUACAACAGCCAUCGAAGCAACAACAACCCCAGAAGGAAAAUAUAAUCCAUAAAACACCUUCAGAUUGUAUUAGCACUGUGCAGUGGAUCAAACGUAUUUUUCUGGAAGUAAAUUCAUUGCUUUUGAUGAAGUUACAUCACAGACAAGUUCAGUUCAGUGUAUUUAAUUUCCAGAACAAGUAUUGAGCUGGGGAAGGGUGUUUAAGCUCAUAAUUGGCACACCAAUGUAUGGCAGAGAAGUAAAUAUGCUAUUAAUU